AACGUAGGUUCCGAGCGUUAUCCGGAUUUACUGGGCGUAAAGCGCGUUCAGGCGGUUUGGCAAGUCGGGCAUGAAAUCUCUCGGCUCAACCGGGAGAGGUUGUCCGAUACUGCUGGACUUGAGGGCAGUAGAGGGUGGUGGAAUUCCGGGUGUAGUGGUGAAAUGCGCAGAUAUCAGGAGGAACACCGGUGGCGAAGGCGGCAUCCUGGACCGGUAUUGACACUGAAAAGCGAAAGCCAGGGGAGCAAACGGG
rnacentral:rRNA from 1 species